rnacentral:rRNA from 1 species
AUGUGUCCCACAGCCAGAACCAAGCUCUUGCUCCUCCUUGCAGUAGCAGCCUCCACCAUUCCCUUCACCUCCAAUGGCUUGGUGCAUGUGCCACGCCAGCCAGCCAGCCAUGCCAACGGCACCGGCACCGGCACGAUGUGUCUGCCACAUGAAAGGGAGGCCUUGCUAGCGUUCAAGCGAGGCAUCACCAAAGACCCGUUGGGCCAACUCGCCUCGUGGCAGCGACAUGGGCUGAAGGACUGCUGCCGCUGGAGGGGAGUCCAGUGCGAUGACCGCACCGGGCAUGUCCUCGAGCUUCAUCUUCGCAACUUGCACGAAAAUAACACGCUUCUCAUCGAUGAUCAACUAACAGCUUUGGUCGGUGAGAUAAGUCCUUCUUUGCUCGCCUUGCAGCAUUUGGAACACCUUGAUCUCAGCGUGCAAGCACUCCAGGGGCCCACUGGUUGUGUCCCGGAGUUCUUGGGCUCUUUCAAGAACCUAAGAUAUCUUAACCUCUCUUGCGUACCAUUUUUCAGUGAUUUGCCGCCUCAUCUUGGUAACCUCUCAAAGUUGCAAUUCCUUGACCUCUCCCAAGCUAACAUGGUUUAUGUCUCAUCGGGUGGACCACCAAUGCACUCCAAAGAUAUCUCAUGGUUAACCCGCAUGCCUUUGUUAAGGUACCUCAACAUGCAAAUGGUAAACCUUAGCAUGGUGGCCGAUUGGCCUCGUGUUGCCAACAUGAUUCCUUCUUUGAGAGUCCUUUGUCUAUCCCAAUGCUCACUUGAAAGCGCAAAACACUCGCUCUUGCACUCCAACCUCACCAAUCUUGUAGAGCUUGAUCUCUCUGGCAACGACUUUGACCAACCACUUGCAUCUUGCUGGUUUUGGAAUAUAACAAGCAUUAGAUACCUCAACCUUCGGUCUACCAAUAUGUAUGGCCAGUUUCCAAAUUCUCUAGGAGAUUUGAAAUCCCUUCAAGCCCUUGCCUUUUCAACUGAUAGGUUGGGCUCCAUGACAGCAAGCAUGAGAAAUUUGUGCAAUCUUGAAGUCCUAGAUCUCAGCAAUAGCCUGUUGGAUGAAAACAUUAGAGACACAUUCCAAAGGUUACCUCAGUGUUCGCCUAACAAGUUGAAAGAAUUACAUCUGGAGAACAAUAAUAUCACUGGAGUCCUACCAAACUUCAUAGAGGAAUUCAUCAACAUUGUCAUCCUCGACCUCUCCAACAACCAUAUAACUGGGCAUGUGCCUCCUGAGAUUGGAAGGUUCAGAAAUUUAACUAGCUUGGACCUAAGCAGUAACAGACUGGGAGGUGUGAUUACACAAGAACACUUUGCAAAUCUGAGCAGUUUAGAACACAUAGACUUAUCCUAUAAUUCCUUGAAGAUUGUGGCGGAGCCCGAAUGGCGGGCACCAUUUAGUCUCGUUACAGCUGGUUUUGCAUAUUGUCAAAUGAAUUUGUUUCCUGCUUGGCUAGAAGGGCAGGUGGGUCUCUCUUUUUUGGAUCUUACGAGUGCAAGUAUAAAGGACAAACUUCCAAAAUGGUUUUCUACUACAUUUGCAAAUGUUAUCAAAUUGUACCUUUCGGCCAAUGAAAUCUAUGGUAGAUUGCCAACAAACAUGGAUGUUAUGACAUCAUUGAGCUACCUAUAUUUGGAUUCAAACCAGCUAAGUGGUGGAAUACCCCAAUUGCCAAUGUCGCUGAGCAUAUUGGACAUCUCCAUGAACUCUUUAUCGGGACCUUUCCCGGAAAAUUUUGCAGCUUUAGAUAUAUGGUUUCUAAGACUAUCUUCCAAUAGUCUCACCGGUCAAAUUCCAGAGUCUUUGUGCCAAAUGCAUUACCUGCAGAUCUUAGUGCUAAGCAACAACCUUUUUGAAGGGGAAUUUCCUCGAUGUUUCGAGACAAGCAGCCUGAUGAUGUUACUUUUAAGUAACAAUAGGCUAUCUGGAAUGUUCCCAGCAUUUUUGCGGAAAAACACAAAUCUCGAAGUCCUUGACUUGUCACAAAAUGAGUUCUCUGGAAGAGUGCCUAUGUGGAUUGGAGAAUUAGUGAGCCUAGAGAUACUACAACUGAGCUAUAACACGUUCUCUCAUAGUAUUCCUUCAACCAUUACAAAUCUUAGUAGCCUUAUUCAACUGAAUCUAGCAGGCAACAGCAUAUCAGGUGUCAUACCGUGGAACUUAUCAAGUUUAACUGGUAUGCCAAGUGAGGGUAGUCCGAGUUCUUUAACCGACCCUAGAUAUGAUAUUUAUAUGCAUGUGUUCACAAAGAGUCAAGAACUUAAUUAUCAAGAUGAUGCAAUACUUAGAGUGGUGAUCAUGGACUUGUCAUCAAAUUUUUUAACUGGUGGGAUUCCAGAAGAUAUAUCAUCUCUUGAUGCAAUUGUAGGUUUGAAUUUGUCACAGAAUCACCUGAUUGGGAAAAUUUCAAACAAGAUUGGGGUCAUGAAGUCGUUACAAUCACUGGACCUCUCAAGGAACAAGCUUUCUGGAGAAAUACCACCAAGCUUGUUAAAUCUGACAUAUUUAAGCAGCUUGGACUUGUCUUACAACAAUCUUGCGGGGCAAAUACCAUCAGGAGGCCAACUUGACACCCUCUAUCUACAACAUCCAUCUAUGUACGAUGGCAACAAUGGUCUUUGCGGACCUCCACUCCCUAAGAAUUGCUCAGGAAACAAUGCAGCAAGGCAUGAUGUUCAAACGACACAUAGUACAUAUUCCGAUCCAAUGUCCUUCUACUUUGGGCUCGGAAUAGGAUUUGUCAUCGGUCUUUGGGUGGUGUUCUGUGCCAUGUUAUUCAAGAGAGCAUGGAGGAUUGCCUAUUUCCGGCUCUUCGACAAGAAGUCUGGCGGGGAGAAGAAUGAAGACAAAAGGAAAAUCAGAAUAGGCAACUGGGCCUUGUGA